rnacentral:rRNA from 1 species
AACGAACGCUGGCGGCAGGCUUAACACAUGCAAGUCGAACGCCCCGCAAGGGGAGUGGCAGACGGGUGAGUAACGCGUGGGAACGUGCCCUUCGCUUCGGAAUAGCCCCGGGAAACUGGGAGUAAUACCGGAUACGCCGUAUUGGGAAAGAUUUAUCGGCGAAGGAUCGGCCCGCGUUGGAUUAGCUAGUUGGCGGUGUAAUGGACCACCAAGGCGACGAUCCAUAGCUGGUCUGAGAGGAUGAUCAGCCACACUGAGACUGAGACACGGCCCAGACUCCUACGGGAGGCAGCAGUGGGGAAUCUUGGACAAUGGGCGCAAGCCUGAUCCAGCCAUGCCGCGUGAGUGAAGAAGGCCUUAGGGUUGUAAAACUCUUUCGCCGGUGAAGAUAAUGACGGUAGCCGGAGAAGAAGCCCCGGCUAACUUCGUGCCAGCCGCCGCGGUAAAAC